GGAGGGUGCGAGCGUUGUCCGGAAUCAUUGGGCGUAAAGGGCGCGUAGGUGGCCUGUGCAAGCGUGCGGUGAAAGCUCGGGGCUCAACCCCGAGUCGGCCGUGCGAACUGCUGGGCUCGAGCACUGUAGAGGCAGGCGGAAUUCCGGGUGUAGCGGUGGAAUGCGUAGAGAUCCGGAAGAACACCGGUGGCGAAGGCGGCCUGCUGGGCAGUGGCUGACACUGAGGCGCGACAGCGUGGGGAGCAAACAGGAUUAGAUACCCUGGUAGUCCACGCCGUAAACGAUGGGCACUAGGCGCUUGGGGGAGCGACCCUCCGAGGGCCGGCGCUAACGCAUUAAGUGCCCCGCCUGGGGAGUACGGCCGCAAGGCUG
rnacentral:rRNA from 1 species